rnacentral:rRNA from 1 species
UACGUAGGGACCGAGCGUUGUCCGGAAUCAUUGGGCGUAAAGAGCGUGUAGGCGGCCACUUAAGUCCUGCGUGAAAUCUUGCGGCUCAACCGCAAGCGGUCGUGGGAAACUGGGUGGCUAGAGUGCGGGAGAGGAGAGUGGAAUUCCUGGUGUAGCGGUGAAAUGCGCAGAGUAUCAGGAGGAACACCGGUGGCGAAGGCGGGUCUCUGGGCCGUAACUGACGCUGAGGAGCGAAAGCGUGGGGAGCGAACAGG